rnacentral:rRNA from 1 species
AUUGAACGCUGGCGGCAGGCCUAACACAUGCAAGUCGAGCGGAUGAAGGGAGCUUGCUCCUGGAUUCAGCGGCGGACGGGUGAGUAAUGCCUAGGAAUCUGCCUGGUAGUGGGGGAUAACGUCCGGAAACGGGCGCUAAUAACGCAUACGUCCUGAGGGAGAAAGGGGGGGAUCUUCGGACCUCACGCUAUCAGAUGAGCCUAGGUCGGAUUAGCUAGUUGGUGGGGUAAAGGCCUACCAAGGCGACGAUCCGUAACUGGUCUGAGAGGAUGAUCAGUCACACUGGAACUGAGACACGGUCCAGACUCCUACGGGAGGCAGCAGUGGGGAAUAUUGGACAAUGGGCGAAAGCCUGAUCCAGCCAUGCCGCGUGUGUGAAGAAGGUCUUCGGAUUGUAAAGCACUUUAAGUUGGGAGGAAGGGCAGUAAGUUAAUACCUGGCUGUUUUGGCGUUACCAACAGAAUAAGCACCGGCUAACUUCGUG